UGUAACCGUGUAUAUUACAUA
rnacentral:piRNA from 1 species